AGCGAACGCUGGCGGCAGGCCUAACACAUGCAAGUCGAACGAACCUUUCGGGGUUAGUGGCGGACGGGUGAGUAACACGUGGGAACGUGCCUUUAGGUUCGGAAUAACUCAGGGAAACUUGUGCUAAUACCGAAUGUGCCCUUCGGGGGAAAGAUUUAUCGCCUUUAGAGCGGCCCGCGUCUGAUUAGCUAGUUGGUUGAGGUAAUGGCUCACCAAGGCGACGAUCAGUAGCUGGUCUGAGAGGAUGAUCAGCCACAUUGGGACUGAGACACGGCCCAAAUUCCUACGGGAGGCAGCAGUGGGGAAUCUUGCGCAAUGGGCGAAAGCCUGACGCAGCUAUGCCGCGUGAAUGAUGAAGGUCUUAGGAUUGUAAAAUUCUUUCACCGGGGACGAUAAUGACGGUACCCGGAGAAGAAGCCCCGGCUAACUUCGUG
rnacentral:rRNA from 1 species